rnacentral:rRNA from 1 species
AAUAUUGGACCAUUGGGGCAACCCUGAUCUAGCCAUGCCGCGUGUGUGAAGAAGGUCUUCGGAUUGUAAAGCACUGUAAGUUGGGAGGAAGGGCUUUAGGUUAUUACCCUGAAGCUUUGACGUUACCAACAGAAUAAGCACCGGCUAACUCUGUGCCAGUAGCCGCGGUAAUACAGAGGGUGCAAGCGUUGUCCGGAAUUAUUGGGCGUAAAGCGCGCGUAGGUGGUUCAGUAAGAUGGGUGUGAAAUCCCCGGGCUUAACCUGGGAACUGCUUUCAUAACUGCUGAGCUAGAGUACGGUAGAGGGUAGUGGAAUUUCCUGUGUAGCGGUGAAAUGAGUAGAUAUAGGAAGGAACACCAGUGGCGAAGGCGACUACCUGGACUGAUACUGACACUGAGGUGCGAAAGCGUGGGGAGCAAACA